AAUGCCACACUCUAGGAACAAUAUCCGGCUCUAUACAACAUUGUGCGCCACAAGGGUGAUACUAUCGCCAUAGUGAUGGAAUCAUUUCCACCAAAUGUGACAUUCAGAAGAGAUUUAAUUGGACCGAGACUACAAUCAUAGAACAUUCUGCUUCAGCGGUUGUCCAUGGUGCAAUUGUCACAUGGGUCUGAUGUAUUCCGAUGGAACCUCCAUGGGAAUGGACAAUUCUCAGCGGAGUCUAUGUAUAGAGCGUUAAUCCAGUCUGACGUGCCAGUUGGUAAUAACAAGAAGAUCUGGAAGAUGAAGACCACUUAA
rnacentral:rRNA from 1 species